UUUGUGUUUCUUCCAUUUGCGAAUAAUCGCACCAACUAUUGUCACAUUCUCACCAAGCUGCUUGGCGAUGGUCUUGUAGCCCAUUCUAGCCUUGUGUAGGUCUACAAUCUUGUCCCUGACAUCCUUGGACAGCUCUUUGGUCUUGGCCAUGAUUGAUUGCUGCUGUGGACAGGUGUCUUUUUAUACAGGUAACGAGCUGAGAAUAGGAGCACUCCCUUUAAAAGAGUACUCCUAAUCUCAACUCGAAUCCCUGUAUAAAAGACACCUCGGAGCCAGAAAUCUUGCUGAUUGAUAGGGGACCAAAUACUUAUUUCACUCAUUGACAUGCC